rnacentral:rRNA from 1 species
AUUGAACGCUGGCGGCAGGCCUAACACAUGCAAGUCGAGCGGAUGAAGGGAGCUUGCUCCUGGAUUCAGCGGCGGACGGGUGAGUAAUGCCUAGGAAUCUGCCUGGUAGUGGGGGAUAACGUCCGGAAACGGGCGCUAAUACCGCAUACGUCCUGAGGGAGAAAGUGGGGGAUCUUCGGACCUCACGCUAUCAGAUGAGCCUAGGUCGGAUUAGCUAGUUGGUGGGGUAAAGGCCUACCAAGGCGACGAUCCGUAACUGGUCUGAGAGGAUGAUCAGUCAGACUGGAACUGAGACACGGUCCAGACUCCUACGGGAAGCAGCAGUGGGGAAUAUUGGACAAUGGGCGAAAGCCUGAUCCAGCCAUGCCGCGUGUGUGAAGAAGGUCUUCGGAUUGUAAAGCACUUUAAGUUGGGAGGAAGGGCAGUAAGUUAAUACCUUGCUGUUUUGACGUUACCAACAGAAUAAGCACCGGCUAACUUCGUG